rnacentral:rRNA from 1 species
UACGAAGGGGACUAGCGUUGUUCGGAAUCACUGGGCGUAAAGCGCACGUAGGCGGAUUUGUAAGUCAGGGGUGAAAUCCCGGGGCUCAACCUCGGAACUGCCUUUGAUACUGCGAAUCUCGAGUCCGAUAGAGGUGGGUGGAAUUCCUAGUGUAGAGGUGAAAUUCGUAGAUAUUCGCAAGAACACCAGUGGCGAAGGCGGCUCACUGGCCCGGUACUGACGCUGAGGUGCGAAAGCGUGGGGAGCAAACAGG